GACGCGGCGACGUGGGCGGUUCGCCGCCGAUGACGUCGCGAGAAGUCCACUGAACCUUUUCAUUUAGAGGAAGGAGAAGUCGUAACAAGGUUUCCGUAGGUGAACCUGCGGAAGGAUCAUUG
rnacentral:rRNA from 1 species